UACGUGGGUGGCAAGCGUUGUCCGGAUUUAUUGGGUUUAAAGGGUGCGUAGGCGGCCCUGUAAGUCAGUGACUGAAUCAUCCCGGCUUAACCGGGAGGGUGGCAUUGAUACUGCGGGGCUAGAGUACAGAUGAGGUAGGCGGAAUUGACGGUGUAGCGGUGAAAUGCUUAGAUAUCGUCAAGAACACCUAUAGCGAAGGCAGCUUACUAGGCUGUAACUGACGCUGAGGCACGAAAGUGUGGGGAUCAAACAGG
rnacentral:rRNA from 1 species